CCUACGGGUGGCUGCAGUGGGGAAUAUUGGACAAUGGGGGCAACCCUGAUCCAGCCAUGCCGCGUGUGUGAAGAAGGCCCUCGGGUUGUAAAGCACUUUCAGUGAGGAAGAACGCCUGGUGGUUAAUACCCAUCAGGAAAGACAUCACUCACAGAAGAAGCACCGGCUAACUCCGUGCCAGCAGCCGCGGUAAUACGGAGGGUGCGAGCGUUAAUCGGAAUUACUGGGCGUAAAGCGCGCGUAGGUGGCUUGAUAAGCCGGUUGUGAAAGCCCCGGGCUCAACCUGGGAACGGCAUCCGGAACUGUCAAGCUAGAGUGCAGGCGAGGAAGGUAGAAUUCCCGGUGUAGCGGUUAAAUGCGUAGAGAUCGGGAGGAAUACCAGUGGCGAAGGCGGCCUUCUGGACUGACACUGACACUGAGGUGCGAAAGCGUGGGUAGCACACAGGAUUAGCUACCAGAGUAGUC
rnacentral:rRNA from 1 species